rnacentral:rRNA from 1 species
UGGGGAAUAUUGGACAAUGGGCGCAAGCCUGAUCCAGCCAUACCGCGUGGGUGAAGAAGGCCUUCGGGUUGUAAAGCCCUUUUGUUGGGAAAGAAAAGCAGCCGGUUAAUACCCGGUUGUUCUGACGGUACCCAAAGAAUAAGCACCGGCUAACUUCGUGCCAGCAGCUGCGGUAAUACGAAGGGUGCAAGCGUUACUCGGAAUUACUGGGCGUAAAGCGUGCGUAGGUUGUUGUUUAAGUCUGUUGUGAAAGCCCUGGGCUCAACCUGGGAAUUGCAGUGGAUACUGGGCGACUAGAGUGUGGUAGAGGGUAGUGGAAUUCCUGGUGUAGCAGUGAAAUGCGUAGAGAUCAGGAGGAACAUCCAUGGCGAAGGCAGCUACCUGGACCAACACUGCCACUGAGGCACGAAAGCGUGGGGAGCAAACAGG